GCCCCUGUGGUGGAAUGGUAGACGCGCUCGACUCAAAAUCGAGUGCCGCAAGGCGUGUUGGUUCGAGUCCGACCAGGGGCACCA
rnacentral:tRNA from 1 species